rnacentral:rRNA from 1 species
AGUCGAGGGGUAUAAGGAGCUUGCUCCUUAGAGACCGGCGCACGGGUGCGUAACGCGUAUGCAAUCUACCUUUCACAGAGGGAUAGCCCAGAGAAAUUUGGAUUAAUACCUCAUAGUAUAUAUGGAUGGCAUCAUUUGUAUAUUAAAGUCACAACGGUGAAAGAUGAGCAUGCGUCCCAUUAGCUAGUUGGUAAGGUAACGGCUUACCAAGGCGACGAUGGGUAGGGGUCCUGAGAGGGAGAUCCCCCACACUGGUACUGAGACACGGACCAGACUCCUACGGGAGGCAGCAGUGAGGAAUAUUGGUCAAUGGGCGCAAGCCUGAACCAGCCAUGCCGCGUGCAGGAUGAAGCAUCUAUGGUGUGUAAACUGCUUUUGUACGGGAAGAAACAGAGGUUCGUGAACCUCCUUGACGGUACCGUAAGAAUAAGGAUCGGCUAACUCCGUGCCAGCAGCCGCGGUAAUACGGAGGAUCCAAGCGUUAUCCGGAAUCAUUGGGUUUAAAGGGUCCGUAGGCGGUUUGGUAAGUCAGUGGUGAAAGCCCAUCGCUCAACGGUGGAACGGCCAUUGAUACUGCCAGACUUGAAUUACUAGGAAGUAACUAGAAUAUGUAGUGUAGCGGUGAAAUGCUUAGAUAUUACAUGGAAUACCAAUUGCGAAGGCAGGUUACUACUAGUGGAUUGACGCUGAUGGACGAAAGCGU